AAAAGAAGGCGCAGCGGAGCGGGCCCUGUCCAGCAAGUAUAUCUAUAACGCCAGAAUGGCAAAGAGACACAAUAGUGGAAUGAAUUUUAUAAGUGCAAAAUAGCUGCUUGGCUGACUCAUUGACUUGGUCCACCCGGACAAAACUACAACAAUUCACAACAUUUACUGGCAUUUUUAAAGAAUUACUAUAGUUAAACCAAUGUUUAAAUGGCUGCUGUGUCAGGCUGUGCUGGUUGUUAAAACUUUAUGGCUAUUUUGUAAAAAAAAAGAAAAUAUGAAUAAUUCUAAAUUUGGCAUUAUUUCUUAAUAUCCCCUACAAUUCCAUUUUAGAAAAUUUGCGUAUCAUUUUUUUUUUUCACUGAGAUUUUGAACUUUUUUGAUGAGAUUAUUAGUAUGAGAUUAUUUUGAGAACAACCGUCGGCGUUGGUACUGCAAACAUGCUAAAUUUUUGAUGUAGAAUUUUAAGCGCAGUUUAAAAUCACCCGCACGGAAUUCGAUUUAUUCAACAAAGAUCUCAUUGCUUUGACGGAAAAAUUCGCUAGAUAUAAUAAUAUUUUUGAAAAUGCGUCCUGAUUGGAAAAUUAGGAACUCGUUGCGGAAACGUAAAAAACCUUCUGUAGUUACGAACGAUUCUUCUGCCACAAAUAUUGAUACAAAUUCUAACAAUGCAUCAAAGAUUACGUUGAACAUUGCUUCAUCCAGUUCAUCAAAUGCAACUUUCAAACCCGCUUACAGCUUCGACGCCUCUUUUGCUGCAGCUUCGACAAUUCAACCCCUUCCGGUAGUAAUAAAUACCACAUUCCGUUAACCUCAACUUUAACAACUAUACCUCCUAAACAGCUACAGGAAUGAAUUUUAUAAGUGCAAAAUAGCUGCUUGGCUGACUCAUUGACUUGGUCCACCCGGACAAAACUACAACAAUUCACAACAUUUACUGGCAUUUUUAAAGAAUUACUAUAGUUAAACCAAUGUUUAAAUGGCUGCUGUGUCAGGCUGUGCUGGUUGUUAAAACUUUAUGGCUAUUUUGUAAAAAAAAAGAAAAUAUGAAUAAUUCUAAAUUUGGCAUUAUUUCUUAAUAUCAAAAUUUGCGUAUCAUUUUUUUUUUCACUGAGAUUUUGAACUUUUUUGAUGAGAUUAUUAGUAUGAGAUUAUUUUGAGAACAACCGUCGGCGUUGGUACUGCAAACAUGCUAAAUUUUUGAUGUAGAAUUUUAAGCGCAGUUUAAAAUCACCCGCACGGAAUUCGAUUUAUUCAACAAAGAUCUCAUUGCUUUGACGGAAAAAUUCGCUAGAUAUAAUAAUAUUUUUGAAAAUGCGUCCUGAUUGGAAAAUUAGGAACUCGUUGCGGAAACGUAAAAAACCUUCUGUAGUUACGAACGAUUCUUCUGCCACAAAUAUUGAUACAAAUUCUAACAAUGCAUCAAAGAUUACGUUGAACAUUGCUUCAUCCAGUUCAUCAAAUGCAACUUUCAAACCCGCUUACAGCUUCGACGCCUCUUUUGCUGCAGCUUCGACAAUUCAACCCCUUCCGGUAGUAAUAAAUACCACAUUCCGUUAACCUCAACUUUAACAACUAUACCUCCUAAACAGCUACAGGUAAUUUCAUCCAAAAACACUGUUUUCUGAAAUAACCAUUGAAGAUGUCUCUAUCUAUAUAAAAUCGAAAUUUAAUGCAGAAGUCUUUAAAUUUAAAUACCGGGACAGACGAAGCAAAGCAUCAUUUGAAAAUAUUGCUCCUGAGGAAAUUUUUGCCACUGUAGUAAAUCCAACUUUUUGGCCGCCUAAAGCACUUUUAGGGAAUA